rnacentral:rRNA from 1 species
CCUACGGGGGGCAGCAGUGGGGGAUAUUGCACAAUGGGGGAAACCCUGAUGCAGCGACGCCGCGUGUGGGAAGACGGUCCUCUGGAUUGUAAACCACUGUCCCCAGGGACGAAGAUGACGGUACCUGGGGAGGAAGCUCCGGCUAACUACGUGCCAGCAGCCGCGGUAAUACGUAGGGAGCGAGCGUUGUCCGGAAUUACUGGGUGUAGAGGGAGCGUAGGCGGGACUGCAAGUUGGGUGUCAAAUCUACCGGCUCAACCGGUAGCCGCACUCAAAACUGCAGUUCUUGAGUGAAGUAGAGGCAGGCGGAAGUCCUAGUGUAGCGGUGAAAUGCGUAGAUAUUAGGAGGAACACCAGUGGCGAAGGCGGCCUGCUGGGCUUUUACGGACGCUGAGGCUCGAAAGUGUGGGGAGCAAACAGGAUUAGAUACCCCAGUAGUC